UACGGAGGGAGCUAGCGUUGUUCGGAAUUACUGGGCGUAAAGCGCGCGUAGGCGGCUUUGUAAGUUAGAGGUGAAAGCCCGGGGCUCAACUCCGGAACUGCCUUUAAGACUGCAUCGCUUGAAUCCGGGAGAGGUGAGUGGAAUUCCGAGUGUAGAGGUGAAAUUCGUAGAUAUUCGCAAGAACACCAGUGGCGAAGGCGGCUUACUGGUCCGGAUCUGACGCUGAGGCGCGAAAGCGUGGGGAGCAAACAGG
rnacentral:rRNA from 1 species